rnacentral:sRNA from 1 species
CAACCUAAGAGCAUCUGGCACCAAAUUGCACGAGAUUUUCUUCACAAAGUUUGGUCAUAUAUAUUUUUCUUCAGGCUGAAAACUUCCCAAAGCGAUUGAAAGAUACUGACAAUAACAAUAACAGUGAUCACGUGCUCUUCAAACGCAGAAACCAUUUUGGAGAAUACAUCCUGAAGACUCUGUAGGCUGAGAUGGUGGAUAUGAGAGCCAUUAAGAUGGACGCUACAUAGCCGCAAAGGAACGCUCCUCCUAUUUGGAUGCAGAAUCUCGUGAAUUUGUCACAUACCUUCAACCAUUGAAACGCUUCUGACCCUUUCACUGCUAUCAUCGAUGCUCCAACCGAUGCCGUGUUUGUCCCAAAUAUAACUGGCGUACCUGAUCCAAGAAUAAAGAAAUCCAAGCCACGCACAUAUCAGACCCUUUCAAGUUUCCUCUGGAGCAAGUUGAGUGUUUGCAUAACUGAAGCAGGUUAUAACCUGCAGCAGCAGACGUAACAUACACCAACAUCCUAUAGAAACAUAAAAUUCCUGGGUCUGAUUUAGAGAAUAUCAAGCCACAGCAAUGGAAGAGAAUACACAUAAAAGAAGAGGAAGAGGAAGGUCUUACCUGAGAGCAUCCAAAUCAUUGUAGGUAGCCUUCUUCUGAAUACCCAAGAACACAACCUUUGUUUGAGUAUCAAAAGCAACCAAGCAUGUAGUUAAUACCAAAAACAGUAUUACCGAUAACCUUAGACAGACUUCCCCUCUCGCCAUUCCCAACUUCAUUUUUUGGAUCAGACGAAUCGAUUCUGUCCUUUGCUCUUAAUUUUAGCUCCACUUUCAGCUUAUUUAUGGAAUUGUAGUUUACUUGUUGAAUCACAAUUCUGGCUGAGAACUAUACACGAGUGUGGGGUGUAUCGACCCCAUCAACGAUUACCUAACUCUUAUUAUUACCCAU